rnacentral:lncRNA from 1 species
CAAGCUGCUGAGGGUGAUGUAUGAAUGCUUUGGUCCAGGCACUGUCUCUGUUUGGGAUGCAAAACAGAUCUGUGUGUGCAUAUGCUUUCAUCUGCAGCUGACAGUGCAAAACAGAGCACUGCUAAGUGGCAGAAGUGUUUACUUAGUGGUUUCUCUAGCAAAUCUUCGCUUCACCUGAUGCCGUAUCCCCUUGUAAGAACAGACUGGAGAUUUGCUUGGUUGAUUUAUUGAUUAUUGAAAGCAGUGCUUUACUGCUGACUUUCCCAAAAGACUGCAGUGUUUGAUUUCAACUCUCCCUUGAUAUCGAACUUUCUGAAAGUGUGCUCAUUCAAGACACCCUGCAGAUGCUGUUUGAGGAGAGUGACAGCUACUCAGAAUGGGAAUGUUUGGGCCUGCAGAUACCUUUUAUCACUACAGCAACUCAGAAGCACUGUGCAGUACCCGCAAUGGCUUAACAAGAAUCUGAAGAGGUGUGGGAAGUCCCUUCAUCUUUCUGCAGCACAAAGCACUAAGAUCUACAGUGGAUAUAUCUGCUCUGAACUCUCUGGCAAAAGUAUACCUUUAUUAAUCAGCAGACUACUGUGGUUAGCUCCAGAAACACACCAGACACAAGAUCCCAGCAUGGAAUUACACUGCUCUUAUUCCUGUACAUCAGGAUUUAAGUGGAAGAGACCAGAAGAACUCACUGUGCUUCAGUGACUGAAGGUACCUGCAAUAAUUCACGUGAUCUCAAGAUACAUCCUAAGAUUCCUUAACUUCCUGGGCCUCUCUUGACUAUCUGGAAACAUUCAAAACCGCUGUGAAGCAAAAUGGAUAGGUUUCAAAUAAUGAAAUGAAACUUCAGAUGUUCUGACACGUGACAGUAAUUCAUAAAGUUUCCAGACAAUUCAAAAAGGCACUACAAGAACAAAAUUCCCAUGUUCCGCUUACGUACAUCAGCUCCUAGUGAAGAUUUUGUGUUCUUCUUUCACCACAAAGGUCCCAUUGUCAUGACACCCUAUGAAGAAUGGCUUCUCCAUGGACUGUUAUUAUUGUGGAGUCAAAUGCUCGUGAAAUGAUAAGCAUCCAAGGCCCAAAUGUAUCCACCAAAUUCCCACUCCCAGGGGUCAAACCACAGGCUCAGGAGGGCCUAGCAGUGAAAUGCUCUUGGGAUUUGUCUGUCCAUGUACAUGUCCAGGAGAACAAAUUGCAUGACAGGCUGUUGCGUGCCUCAUCUGAAGUACUUCAGUCAGUCAUAGGUAGUAAUGUCUUGCCUCAGAGCACACCAGUGAGACCAGCCUUGAAAGAAAGUAGAGUAAGUGGUGGCUCUGUCUACUUCAAUCCAGUAGUCCAAUGGUUUAUACGGUCUGGCAAGCCUCUGUGUAAAUACAGUAGGAACUAAGGCUUUUCCUCAAAAAGGGAAGAUGCUAUGGCUAAUUCAUUGUAGGCAUAUUGCCUUGGGGUAAGACAGGAUCCAUCACACUUGCUGAGUUAGGACCUGUAAGAGUCAGGAGCCAGGAGCCAGGAACUGGUGUAUCUCAAGGAUUGCCCUCCUACACUUCCAUGUACACCAUGUAAACUACCUGUGCUGGCUAUCUUAACUGAUUAGACUGAACACAUCACUGCAGCAGCCACAGACUUGUAAGAAAGAAAUAGUGCUGGAAGUUAACUUGAGAUGAGGGCUUACCUUUGGUGGAAAGAAAUCCUACCAUGUGUAUCUGCCUCACCAGUACAUGCCCAUCUCUGGCCAAAACUUAAGGAUUUUGUAUACAGUUUGAUCACAAUCAUCACCGUCAUCAGUUUGGAGCUUGAUGGUCCUUGAGGUCCCUUCCAAUCCAAGCAAUUCUAUGAUUCUGUGAUCAUAACCAGUCUAUGAUCCUUCAAAGUAUCUGGCAUUAAUAGGCCUCAGUGGUCAGGGAAACCACCCUGGCCUGUCCCUUUGAUGUCACAAUAUUAAAAAUAAGGUGGGCACAAUGCACAAAUCGCCAGAUAGCAUUGAGCUAGCAUACCCAGCCUCUUCCAUCCACAUGGGCUGCUGGGACCACAGGUGAUAAACAUGGCAUGCUGGUGGCAGACCACACUCUAUCAGCCCAGAAUCGUCCUGGAGGAGAAUGGUGCUCUGCAGUCGUUGCAGAGCACUUCUGAGAGCUACGCAAAAUACACCAGACACCAAGCUUCCUCUGGCUCCCUAAAACUUCUGCAUCUGAGCUCUCCCAGAAAUCAGCCCACAGUUUUCAAGACUUCUCUUUUGCCUGCAUAGAAAGCAAAGUAUAUAUCUCCAACAUACAUCUGCAUAAUUCGGAGCAAGCUGCGUUCAACCACUGUGCCUAAAGGAGAGACCUCUUGUCAGCCAGCCCAAAAGUCUGUUUGAAGGCUGGUUUACUGGCUGACUAUGAGAAGGCUGAAGCAGAAAAAGUUUUUCCUUUUCUUUGUGUUUUCUUUUAAAGAACUUUUUUUCCUAAGCGAUGCUCAAAGAAACACCUACUCCUCCAUGCAAUAUUCUCCGUGGGAGGGGAAAAUAUUCAAUGUACUAUGGAGAAACAUCAAUUAUUUUAAGAAAAAAUAAC